CUUGCUAAAAAUAGUCCUUUUAGUAUGGGCUGCACUACAGGAGGGGACGGUAAAACAAGCAGAGUAGACGCCCUUUGGCUCGACUUGCUAAUGAUCCUACUUUCUAUUCUGAUAAAUGACAUGGCAUUGGUUUAAUUCGUCACUGUUGAACUACUUGUGAGAAAUAUAAAUCAAUCCCGAAGAAAUGCAAACCAUUGUCGUAACGAUACUAGCCUGUCUGGUCAUUCUCUCCCCGGGACUGACGUCUACUGCCCCAGUGCGGACCUCUGGGAAGCUCAGGCUUGUACGGCAAGUUACUCAGACCACACGGAGGUCAAAUGCGCUGAGCUGUGCUAUUUACGACAGCUUAUCCAUCCCUAGACCCCCGCGCUGUAACCAGCUGGGCCAGUGGAAUUAGAUCCUAGGUCUCCCAGCAUCAUCGCUGCAACACUAGCGAUUCGACCACUUCACUGAAACUCCUUAGUUCCUGAUUGAUUUAUUGGCGCUGGUUUUUUUUGGUCAUGUUUAGUUUAGUUGGUGUACAAAUUAGAAAUAAACAUUAAUGUAUAUAAUAAAUAUAAAUAACAUAA